AACAUUUUUUAAACAAAAAUAAAAAUGAAUAAAAACUUACCAUUUAUCUCGGUUUAAAAAUACAACAAUUUCAAACAUUCUACUUAUCCAAAAAUUCUAACAACAGACAAUACAUUUUUCUCAAUAGAAAAAAAAAAAAAAAAGAAUGUCACGAAAUAACCAUUCAACAAUUCAAUCUAUGUUUAAAAAUCAACAGAAGUGUAAAGAUGCGUAAGAAAUGUCAUAAACGUUGGACCAACAGGCCUCUGGACGACCAGCGAGUCGAAUUAGCCGCGUGCUUCCCCACCUAUUAAUCCGAAUAGCGAGAAAGAGAGGUUGGCCCUCUCCCUCGCCAAAGGGAGGUAACGACGCCAACGAUAAAUAAGUACCUGCAGGACUGGCGGAGAGCGGGAGCAUAUCGCCUGCUGUUUCGCGGUCAGAUACUUCAUACACUCUUCUACUUGGAUCAAUAGAUACUUAUUUUUGAAUAUCUAAAAAAAAUUUCAUAUUAAAUUUGAUAUCGUUCUUAUAUCGCUCUUGAUCUAUGGAAUCUCUCUUCCCUCUUAUGCUACAUCAAGAAUUACUUGCCAACCCUAUAUUUUCAUGAAGCAUAGAGAGGACAGCUCCUCAGUAGCCUCGCUCCUGCCGAGGCUACUCACAAAGGAACUCUCGCCGUGACGAACCACCUAUAAUUAGACCAGGUAUUCGAGUGAAAAUUAUAGAGGGGAAAAGGACGAAGGGCAAUAGCUAGGGUAACCCAUGCUCGACAAUACAUGUUUAAGAGCAUCCACAACAAGAAUCGACAAUAGAAAUCGCUUGUACGAUAAAGUGAAAUAGGAAAUCUUAAAAGACAAUUAAUUAGCACAUCCAUUGUAGAUAAAAUGAGAAUAUACAUUGACAUUUAUACUUAUAUGAAAUUAUAAUACUAACUUAUGUAUGUGUAAUAUGAAUUAAAAAUAAAAUAUCAUCAAAAUGUGAAAAAAAAA